GCUGAGGCACCUGCCAUUGCAAUGCCCAACAACAUUGAUGAAGUCGCUUCCACCGAUCCUUGGUCGUUCGACCAGGCCAACCUGGCCUUCACCGGUUUCGAUACCUUUGAUAUCCCUUCUACGUUUCCCAACUGGAUCUAGUUUCCGCCAGGCUAGCAUCGUAACAUGUAUUUUCACGACGCCAUGAGUCAUGAAGUCUAG
rnacentral:misc_RNA from 1 species